GCCAAUUUUACAAAGUUUAAUGAGAAGAGUGGUUACCAGAAACCUGACAUUUGUGUUAAUCACAAGAUCAAAUAGAAACCUGAUAAUAAGUAUGAUGCAUAUAUAGAUUGAAGUAAAGUGAUAUGGAAUAAAUUUCAGAAUCAAAAAUAUCAUUUCCAUACAGAAAUUUAAAAUCAAAUAAUAAGACAAGUAUGAACCAUACUUGCACUGUUGCUGCUAAAUCACCAUGAAAACUGACUUCAUUCUCAACUACUCAAAUCACAAGGGAAGCUAAAAGUUCAAGCUCCAUUAUUGUUCUGUAUAUAUGAAUUAAUUGUAUCAAACUUAUUGGCAACUGUGUGUAUAUUUGGCUGGUUUUUAUUAUCCAAAACUACAUGACCGAUGGCCGAUGGGGGAUCGAGGAAGGGGACAGAGAGAAACAAAUAACACCAAAUAACGAUGAAAAAUAACACCAAGCAAUUUCACAGUACUGAUCAUAAUAACGAUGAUCGAUGUUCAUCUCUCAAAUUCAAAUGUGCAAUAUGCCCAACUGUCUCAAAAGCUGAAUGGAAAUAAAACCUUUUGGUAGCAAUGCCUCUAAGAUAUGCAAUAAGAUACAUUAGAACAGUAAAAAAAAAAAAUCAAUAAAAUUGUAACAAGUAUAUAAGAAUAUUACAUUUUUCUUGACAAGUAAGAACAGCUAAUUAAAUGCGGAUAUGAUCAUCAUUCCUUGCAAGCAGUCUGGAUCCAAUAACGUAACACACAGACUGACAGAUAUGCAAGGGGUAUGAGUUAUACAGGUUCAAGAAACAAACCAUUAAGCCAUGCAUCAACUACUUUAGCUGGGUGGAACCUUCUGCCGGAUUGCAGGUUGGAUUGGGCUGGGUACAAAUCCACAUAGAAUAUGGGAUAGAUAUGAAGGAGACGUCGUCUAAACUAACUGUUAGCAAAGUGGGAAGACAAUAGAAAGGGCGAGAAACUGUAUAUGGAAACAAAAGGGCUUGCAGUAUAUUCACAGCUUAUUCCCAGUUUUAAGUUACGUGUGGUAUUCCAAAGAAUACAAAACAUUGAAAUUUUUCUCAAGAUAAUUGGUUCAAAUAUAGAUCAAAAACAGGUUAUACAUGGAAGAUUAGACACAGAGAGAUAAUAACAACAGGCACAUAAGAUGUUAUAGCUUGAUUUGGGGGAGGAGGGCAAUAGACACUUGGUGGGUGAUACUGAUAUGCUUGUGUCGUAUACCUCAUUAUUCAUCUAUCUACCAAUAAUUAUAAAACAAAGUCAGCUUGCAUCUCCAUCACAAGCUCAAUAGCUGAUGUCAUACUAAUUUGAUUGAAAAGAAAAACAUAUAAUGUCAUAGGCAAGAUCUGGAAUCAUAUGUAUUAUAUGGCUUAGAGAAGCAGUCAGAAAAAUACGAUUAUUUAUUUCUAGGAGAUGCAUGUUUUUACUUGUGCAAACACAAAAAUCUUUCCUUUUGUUAUUUUUCUUUCCGUUUCUCAACUCAUCACCAAGCAGCAUUUCAACACCGUAUAUACUAAUUUUUAAACCAACUUCGGAAAUUAAAGUGAAGAAUAUAAGCAACUGAUGACAGUGUUAGGAAAUGGAACACACACCUUAAUAACCCUCUCCCAUUUCCUCCUCAACGCUAAUCCAAUAACAGCAACCGUCAUCUUUUUUCUUCGGACUCGAAUUUUUGCCUGUCCAAACUUGUCUCAAUUAAUACAGUACCGGACUGCCGUACCCCCUCAGCUUUUCAAAAAAUUUCGUUGCUUCAAACACAUAAAACUAUUAUUAACGUCAUCAGUAAAGUUGGAAUUGCAUUGAGAUUUGAGAGAGUUUUUAAAGUCAUCUUCGAUUCCGUCGUCGGUAACUCAAUGCGAGGCCAGCUCAAGAGGUAGUUGGCGUUCUAGGGCAAAG
rnacentral:lncRNA from 1 species